ensembl:lncRNA
GUUCUCAGCUCAUCAAGACUUUGAUCAUUAGUGGCUGAAUGAAAGCAGGUGUGUUAGAACUGAAAACACUUAAAUGUGCAGGUCGUGGAGUCUUCUCUACUCUGGAAAGUGUGUGGAGUUCUGUUUGGGAUUAACACACCAAGGAAGUAAACUUAGCUCAUCUGGAAAUUUCUUCAAGACUUCAAGGGGGGAAAAACAGAUAAAGUUCCAGGUUCUAUGGUUUUCUCCCACCUGCCAGUGGAUGGACUGGUUAUGCUAAAUUGUCCCUAGGUGCUUGUGAAUGGUGCUGAGCAGUGAUCUGGAAUCCCAUUCAGGUCAGAACAGGAAACGCUCAGGAACAGUAAAUUCUCACCGAGGCGUCAUUCCUUCCUUCGGGACAUGUGAUAUGCAAUUAGAGGAGACAGCUCGAGGACUUUUGUCACAG